rnacentral:lncRNA from 1 species
GAAGAAAAACCCGGAAGCGGAGAAACACUCGCAAAUCUCAGCAAAAAGAGUUUUAAAAAAGAAAAGACAGUGAUGUGAUGCAUUAGGAGCUAGCUGGACAGAUGUGGACAGUACAGUCCGUCAAUUUUACAGUGGUCCUACGGUGUUCGCGCAUGCGCAGUGUGAGAGUUUACGGUAAACCGGUUCGUGGCACUGCGUCAACUGUGAGAUACCCUCACGAGGAGAGACUGGAUUUAUAACAUGUUUGAUUUCCUUACGACCUAUGAUUGUUGAUCAGGAGCUGGUCGUGAGGUGUUCAUCGCUUCUCGUGACCCCAUAUAUACUACACCAUAUAUACUACACCAUAUAUACUACACCAUAUAUACUACACCAUAUAUACUACACCAUAUAUACUACACCAUGUAUACUACACCAUAUAUACUACACCAUAUAUACUACACCAUAUAUACUACACCAUGUACACUACACCAUGUACACUACACCAUGUACACUACCCCAUGUACACUACACCAUGUAUACUACACCAUGUAUACUACACCAUAUAUACUACACCAUGUAUACUACACCAUAUAUACUACACCAUGUAUACUACACAAUGUAUACUACACCAUGUAUACUACACCAUGUAUACUACACCAUAUAUACUACACCAUGUAUACUACACCAUAUAUACUACACCAUGUAUACUACACAAUGUAUACUACACCAUGUAUACUACACCAUAUAUACUACACCAUGUAUACUACACAAUGUAUACUACACCAUGUAUACUACACCAUGUAUACUACACCAUAUAUACUACACAAUGUAUACUACACCAUGUAUACUACACCAUAUAUACUACACCAUGUAUACGACACCAUAUAUACUACACCAUGUAUACUACACCAUGUAUACUACACCAUGUAUACUACACCAUAUAUACUACACCAUGUACACUACACCAUAUAUACUACACCAUGAAUACUACAUCAUGUACACAUGUACACUACACCAUGUACACUACACCAUGUAUACUACACCAUGUACACUACACCAUGUAUACUACAUCAUGUACACUACACCAUAUAUACUACACCAUGAAUACUACAUCAUGUACACUACACCAUGUAUACUACAUCAUGUACACUACACCAUGAAUACUACAUGAUACACGACACAUGAUUUAGCUGAGACUCGCACGAUCCCACAUAAUAG